rnacentral:misc_RNA from 1 species
CACUGUUGAGAAGGUACGCAGCAGUAACUCAUCAAGGUCCUUCCUCAAAGGUCCUGAAAAGUGAUGGGAUCAUCUAGUAAUUGAUGCUUUGGAUGAAAAUUAACAGUUAUUGGAAUGUAAUAUAAACAAACAUGCUAAUAGAGAUCAGAGGGAAGAAUUAUAAUGCCUUUGGAUGAUUCUGAAGCCCCAUUGAGGAGAUUAUCAUAGGACUCUUUCAGGAACUCCUCAGUUGCUCUCCUCAAUUCUGCAUCACAUAUUUUGGUAGUUCCUUCCUUGGGUUCAUGUUACGGAGAUUAUUGUAAGAUUCUUCCAUAUUCUUCAAGAUUGUUUCUUUUGAUUCUGAGG